rnacentral:precursor_RNA from 12 species
GCAAUUGUCAGGACAGCCCAGCCUUGGCACAUUCUAACUGGGAGCACUUAUUGGAUAUGUAAGAACCAUAAGUACUCUCUGUUAGGAUGAGCCUGGCUGAGGAUCGAGCUCCUCUUAAGA